GCCCUGCUUUUGUGGGGUGCUCGAGUGGCGAACGGGUGAGUAACACGUGAGUAACCUGCCCUUGACUUUGGGAUAACUUCAGGAAACUGGGGCUAAUACCGGAUAGGAGCUCCUGCUGCAUGGUGGGGGUUGGAAAGUUUCGGCGGUUGGGGAUGGACUCGCGGCUUAUCAGCUUGUUGGUGGGGUAGUGGCUUACCAAGGCUUUGACGGGUAGCCGGCCUGAGAGGGUGACCGGCCACAUUGGGACUGAGAUACGGCCCAGACUCCUACGGGAGGCAGCAGUGGGGAAUAUUGCACAAUGGGCGGAAGCCUGAUGCAGCAACGCCGCGUGCGGGAUGACGGCCUUCGGGUUGUAAACCGCUUUCGCCUGUGACGAAGCGUGAGUGACGGUAAUGGGUAAAGAAGCACCGGCUAACUACGUGCCAGCAGCCG
rnacentral:rRNA from 1 species